rnacentral:tRNA from 1 species
GGCGCAUUCGUCUAGUGGUUAGGACACGGCCCUCUCAAGGCCGCGGCAGGGGUUCGAAUCCCCUAUGCGCUA